rnacentral:rRNA from 1 species
CACUCCUACGGGAGGCAGCAGUGGGGAAUUUUGGACAAUGGGCGAAAGCCUGAUCCAGCAAUGCCGCGUGAGUGAAGAAGGCCUUCGGGUUGUAAAGCUCUUUUGUCAGGGAAGAAACGGUGAAAGCUAAUAUCUUUUGCUAAUGACGGUACCUGAAGAAUAAGCACCGGCUAACUACGUGCCAGCAGCCGCGGUAAUACGUAGGGUGCAAGCGUUAAUCGGAAUUACUGGGCGUAAAGCGUGCGCAGGCGGUUUUGUAAGUCUGAUGUGAAAUCCCCGGGCUCAACCUGGGAAUUGCAUUGGAGACUGCAAGGCUAGAAUCUGGCAGAGGGGGGUAGAAUUCCACGUGUAGCAGUGAAAUGCGUAGAUAUGUGGAGGAACACCGAUGGCGAAGGCAGCCCCCUGGGUCAAGAUUGACGCUCAUGCACGAAAGCGUGGGGAGCAAACAGGAUUAGAUACCCCGGUAGUCCCAUGAU